GGGCUCAUUGGUAGAGCAUCUACUUUGCACUCAGAAGGUCCCAGAUUCAAUCCCUGGCAUCUCCA